GGAGAUAUGGCCGAGAGGUUUAAGGCACUUCCCUGCUAAGGAAGAAUAUAAUUAAUAUUAAUUAAAAUAUAUCGAGGGUUCAAAUCCCUCUAUCUCCA
rnacentral:tRNA from 1 species